UAUUGCUAAUACGUGUCACCUUGAGCAUGUUGACAAUAUCAUAUAUGAAGCAUGUCAUCGUUGUCUCAAAAAGGUUAACUUUUUCCAUGGAGUUCCCACAUGUGAGUCUUGCAAUAUUACAGAUGUUGUAACCAUUCCAAGAUUGUUAGUUCGACUAACAAUAUGUGAUAAAAGUGGUACUUUAAAAAUCACAAUGCUUCAUGAUCUUGCACAACUCAUUUUGGGAUGCCCAGCUACGGACAUAAAAUUAAUACUUCAACAGCCAAAUGGACGCAAACAAAUAAUGGAAAUAUUGGUCUCAAAACUUGGAUACAAAACCUUCUGUUGGAUCAUACCUCCACCAAUGCAAGACUUCAAUCCGGAACAUUCUUAUACAGUUAGUUAUGCGCUGCAGGUCGAUUGGGCUG